rfam:Subdoligranulum sp. 4_3_54A2FAA genomic scaffold supercont1.9, whole genome shotgun sequence.
GCGAGCCGGAUACAUCGAGAGGUGUACGUCCGGUUCUGGGAGGGGUUUGGGCAAACCUACGGCAGUAAUGCCGCAAGGCGGCUCAUUCCUACUCUAC